rnacentral:rRNA from 1 species
UACGUAGGGUGCAGGCGUUAAUCGGAAUUACUGGGCGUAAAGUGUGCGCAGGCGGCCGAGCAAGUCGAGUGUGAAAGCCCCGAGCUUAACUUGGGAACUGCGCUCGAAACUACUUGGCUAGAGUGUGGCAGAGGGAGGUGGAAUUCCACGUGUAGCGGUGAAAUGCGUUGAUAUUGUGAGGAACGCCGGAGGCGAAAGCGGCGCACUGGAUCUCUUCUGACGCUGAGGCGCGAAAGCUAGGGGAGCAAACGGG